rnacentral:rRNA from 1 species
GGGUGAGUAACGCGUGAGAAUCUACCCUCAGGUCGGGGACAACCACUGGAAACGGUGGCUAAUACCGGAUGUGCCGAGAGGUGAAAGGCUUGCUGCCUGGGGAAGAGCUUGCGUCUGAUUAGCUAGUUGGUAGUGUAAGAGACUACCAAGGCGACGAUCAGUAGCUGGUCUGAGAGGAUGAUCAGCCACACUGGGACUGAGACACGGCCCAGACUCCUACGGGAGGCAGCAGUGGGGAAUUUUCCGCAAUGGGCGAAAGCCUGACGGAGCAAUACCGCGUGAGGGAGGAAGGCUCUUGGGUUGUAAACCUCUUUUCUCAGGGAAGAAAAAAAUGACGGUACCUGAGGAAUAAGCAUCGGCUAACUCCGUGCCAGCAGCCGCGGUAAUACGGAGGAUGCAAGCGUUAUCCGGAAUGAUUGGGCGUAAAGGGUCCGCAGGUGGCAUUGUAAGUCUGCUGUUAAAGAGUCUAGCUCAACUAGAUAAGAGCAGUAGAAACUGCAAAGCUAGAGUUUGGUCGGGGCAGAAGGAAUUCCUGGUGUAGCGGUGAAAUGCGUAGAUAUCAGGAAGAACACCAGUGGCGAAGGCGUUCUGCUAGGCCGAGACUGACACUGAGGGACGAAAGCUAGGGGAGCGAAUGGGAUUAGAUACCCCAGUAGUCCUAGCCGUAAACGAUGGAUACUAGGCGUAGCUCGUAUCGACCCGAGCUGUGCCGGAGCUAACGCGUUAAGUAUCCCGCCUGGGGAGUACGCACGCAACUGUGAAACUCAAAGGAAUUGACGGGGGCCCGCACAAGCGGUGGAGUAUGUGGUUUAAUUCGAUGCAACGCGAAGAACCUUACCAAGGCUUGACAUGUCACGAAUCCUGUUGAAAGAUGAGAGUGCCUUCGGGAGCGCGAACACAGGUGGUGCAUGGCUGUCGUCAGCUCGUGUCGUGAGAUGUUGGGUUAAGUCCCGCAACGAGCGCAACCCUCGUUUUUAGUUGCCAGCAUUAAAUAGGGCACUCUAGAGAGACUGCCGGUGACAAACCGGAGGAAGGUGGGGAUGACGUCAAUCAGCAUGCCCCUUACGUCUUGGGCUACACACGUACUACAAUGCUACGGACAAAGGGCAGCUACACAGGGAUGUGAUGCGAAUCUCAUAAACCGUAGCUCAGUUCAGAUCGAAGGCUGCAACUCGCCUUCGUGAAGGAGGAAUCGCUAGUAAUUGCAGGUCAGCAUACUGCAGUGAAUUCGUUCCCGGGCCUUGUACACACCGCCCGUCACACCAUGGAAGUUGGUCACGCCCGAAGUCG